UACGUAGGGUGCGAGCGUUAAUCGGAAUUACUGGGCGUAAAGCGUGCGCAGGCGGUCUCGUAAGCUGGGUGUGAAAGCCCCGGGCUCAACCUGGGAAUUGCAUUUGAGACUGAAUAGCUAGGGUGCGGAAGAGGGAAGCGGAAUUUCCGGUGUAGCGGUGAAAUGCGUAGAUAUCGGAAGGAACACCAGUGGCGAAAGCGGCUUCCUGGUCCAGCACCGACGUUCAGGCACGAAAGCGUGGGGAGCAAACAGG
rnacentral:rRNA from 1 species